rnacentral:ncRNA from 1 species
AAGAGGUUUGGUCCUGACCUUAGUAUUAAUUGCAACUAGAAUUAUACAUGCAAGUUUCAGCAUUCCCGUGAGAAUGCCCUAAUUAAUCUAUUAAUUAAUUAGGGGCAGGUAUCAGGCACGCGCACGCAGCCCAAAACACCUUGCUAAGCCACACCCUCAAGGGAUUUCAGCAGUAAUAUACAUUGAUAGAAUAAGCGUAAGCUUGAAUCAGUUAAAGUUGAGAGAGUUGGUUAAUCUCGUGCCAGCCACCGCGGUUAUACGAGUAACUCGAAUUAAUGCAUUUCGGCGUAAAGAGUGAUUUAAGGAUGACCUCCAACUACUAAAGUUAAGACCUCAUCAGACUGUUAUACUUAUUCAUGAGCGGAAUAAUCAACAACGAAAGUGACUUUAACCCACCAGGAGCCUUGAUUUCACGACAGUCGGGCCCCAAACUAGGAUUAGAUACCCUACUAUGCCCGACCAUAAACUUAGACGAUACUUCACCAUAUUGUUCGCCAGAGUACUACAAGCGCUAGCUUAAAACCCAAAGGACUUGGCGGCACCCCACACCCACCUAGAGGAGCCUGUUCUAUAACCGAUAUUCCCCGUUAAACCUCACCACUUCUUGCCACUUCCGUUUAUAUACCGCCGUCGUCAGCUCACCCCAUGAGGGGUUAAAAGUAAGCAGAAAGGAUUUAAAUCCCAAACGUCAGGUCGAGGUGUAGCGAAUGAAGUGGGAAGAAAUGGGCUACAUUUUUUUAUUAAAAAACACGAAUGGAAAACUGAAAAAUUACCUAAAGGUGGAUUUAGCAGUAAGAGAGGGUCAGAGUACCUCUCUGAAAUUGGCUCUGGGGUGCGCACACACCGCCCGUCACUCUCCUCAAAAAAACCUAUUAAUUUACAUAAAAAUUCUACUAUAAUAAGAGGAGGCAAGUCGUAACAUGGUAAGUGUACUGGAAAGUGUACUUGGAAUCAA